UACGGAGGGUGCAAGCGUUAUCCGGAUUCACUGGGUUUAAAGGGUGCGUAGGCGGGUUGGUAAGUCCGUGGUGAAAUCCCCAAGCUUAACUUGGGAACUGCCGUGGAUACUAUCAAUCUUGAAUAUCGUGGAGGUAAGCGGAAUAUGUCAUGUAGCGGUGAAAUGCUUGAUAUGACAUAGAACACCAAUUGCGUAGGCAGCUUACUACACGAUCAUUGACGCUGAGGCACGAAAGCGUGGGGAGCAAACAGG
rnacentral:rRNA from 1 species